rnacentral:rRNA from 1 species
CAAUAAGCGGAGGAAAAGAAACCAACAGGGAUUCCCUUAGUAACGGCGAGCGAAAAGGGAGUGGCCCAGUAUGUAAAUCUCCAGCUUUCAGCUGGCGAAUUGUAGUCUGGAGUAGCGACUCUUGGAAACCGGUCAGCCCAAGCAUCUUGGAAUAGAUCGCCGCAGAGGGUGAGAGCCCCGUAGGCAGGCUGGAAUCCUCCACAGAGCGCUCACGGAGAGUCGGGUUGUUUGGGAAUGCAGCCCCAAUUGGGUGGUAAACCCCAUCUAAGGCUAAAUACCUGUGGGAGACCGAUAGCAAAAAAGUACCUCGAGGGAACGAUGAAAAGACCGCUGGCAAGCGAGUGAAAGAGUGCAUGAAAUUGUAUAGUGGGAAGGGAUGGCCUGGCGUUCUGCCCCCGGGUAAACACUGCUCCUCAUUGGAGCUCUUGAAUACACUGGGGGCUUGCUGGUGCCGAUACCCGCGCUCGCAAACUCCCAAGCUAAGGUGUUUGGUACUUCGAGCGCGGGUGUUGAGGCUGAUCAUUGCUUUGUGCGUUGCAGGCAACUGCACGUAACUGCAAGCGACAUAGCACCAGCUGGAGCCUGUCCAUC